AUGCAGCAGAAAGAGAUGGCCGGCCGGUGGCCCGUAGAAGAAUCUACACCGCCGGUGGAAAAAGGCUACUUGGGCGGCGGAGUCCGGCAGAAAGAGUCGGACUCAGAUGUACUGUACUGUUCUCUCGACCCAAUUGCACGUACAUGCCUUCAAGGAAAGGGGUGUGCAUGCAUUUCCUGCAAGGGAAAAGUGACGUUUGGUUGUAUGGUUAGGGUGGUUGUCCUAUCAGGAUCAAGGAUCAACCCAAUACCCUCAAACGAUCUCACUCAAGUUGAGGAAGCCCCUAGACUAGCCACCUUAGGCCACCAUGGAUUCAAUCUAGGAAUUUCACAGCACGCGGUAUAA
rnacentral:rRNA from 1 species